ACGGGAACGGUGGCUAAUACCGGAAGGUGCCGAAAGGUGAAAGAUUUAUUGCCUGAAGAUGAGCUCGCGUCUGAUUAGCUAGUUGGUGUGGUAAGAGCGCACCAAGGCGACGAUCAGUAGCUGGUCUGAGAGGAUGAUCAGCCACACUGGGACUGAGACACGGCCCAGACUCCUACGGGAGGCAGCAGUGGGGAAUUUUCCGCAAUGGGCGAAAGCCUGACGGAGCAAUACCGCGUGAGGGAGGAAGGCUCUUGGGUUGUAAACCUCUUUUCUCAGGGAAUAAAAAAAUGAAGGUACCUGAGGAAUAAGCAUCGGCUAACUCCGUGCCAGCAGCCGCGGUAAUACGGAGGAUGCAAGCGUUAUCCGGAAUGAUUGGGGCGUAAAAGCGUCCCGCAGGGUGGCACUGUAAGUUCUGCUGUUUAAGAAGCAGGGCUCCACCCUUUGUAAAGGCAGUGGAAAACUACGAACUUAAAGUACUUUCGGGGCAGAA
rnacentral:rRNA from 2 species